rnacentral:rRNA from 1 species
UCCAACGUUAAUCGGGGCAGGGUGAGUCGACCCCUAAGGCGAGGCCGAAAGGCGUAGUCGAUGGGAAACAGGUUAAUAUUCCUGUACUUGGUGUUACUGCGAAGGGGGGACGGAGAAGGCUAUGUUGGCCGGGCGACGGUUGUCCCGGUUUAAGCGUGUAGGCUGGUUUUCCAGGCAAAUCCGGAAAAUCAAGGCUGAGGCGUGAUGACGAGGCACUACGGUGCUGAAGCAACAAAUGCCCUGCUUCCAGGAAAAGCCUCUAAGCAUCAGGUAACAUCAAAUCGUACCCCAAACCGACACAGGUGGUCAGGUAGAGAAUACCAAGGCGCUUGAGAGAACUCGGGUGAAGGAACUAGGCAAAAUGGUGCCGUAACUUCGGGAGAAGGCACGCUGAUAUGUAGGUGAAGUCCCUCGCGGAUGGAGCUGAAAUCAGUCGAAGAUACCAGCUGGCUGCAACUGUUUAUUAAAAACACAGCACUGUGCAAACACGAAAGUGGACGUAUACGGUGUGACGCCUGCCCGGUGC